UACGGGGGGGGCAAGCGUUGUUCGGAAUUACUGGGCGUAAAGGGUCUGUAGGUGGCUUGCUAAGUCAGACGUGAAAUCCCUCGGCUUAACCGGGGAACUGCGUCUGAUACUGGCGAGCUUGAGUGCAGGAGAGGAACGCGGAAUUCCAGGUGUAGCGGUGAAAUGCGUAGAUAUGUGGAGGAACACCGAUGGCGAAGGCAGCCCCCUGGGUCAAAACUGACGCUCAUGCACGAAAGCGUGGGGAGCAAACAGG
rnacentral:rRNA from 1 species